rnacentral:rRNA from 1 species
GACGAACGCUGGCGGCGUGCUUAACACAUGCAAGUCGAACGGAAAGGCCCUGCUUUUGUGGUGUGCUCGAGUGGCGAACGGGUGAGUAACACGUGAGUAACCUGCCCUUGACUUUGGGAUAACUUCAGGAAACUGGGGCUAAUACCGGAUAGGAGCUCCUGCUGCAUGGUGGGUGUUGGAAAGUUUCGGCGGUUGGGGAUGGACUCGCGGCUUAUCAGCUUGUUGGUGGGGUAGUGGCUUACCAAGGCUUUGACGGGUAGCCGGCCUGAGAGGGUGACCGGCAAAAUUGGGAAUAAGAUACGGCCCAGACUCAUACGGGAGGCAGCGGUGGGGAAUAUUGCACAAUGGGCGGAAGCCUGAUGCAGCAACGCCGCGUGCGGGAUGACGGCCUUCGGGUUGUAAACCGCUUUCGCCUGUGACGAAGCGUAAGUGACGGUAAUGGGUAAAGAAGCACCGGCUAACUACGU